GAAGAAACAAAUCAUGCAAAGAUUUGGAGGGAGAACAUAUCAAGCAACAGGAACAGGAAGUGCAAAGGCCCUGAGAGUUUUACCCAGUGCUCCUCCAGUCAGAUACUGUGUUGGCACUGGCGGUAACACUUUGGACACAGUGACCCCCAUCCUGGAAUUGUGGAGCCAGCUACCGGGCCAGGAAGGGCUUUAGUGCCGCCGAGAAGCUUCCCUGGGAAGCAGGGUCUGGGCCUGGUGAGGAGGGCGCUGUAUCAUCUAGAUCACCCGCCACAUCAGCACAGUGAAUGCUUGGAAAGUGACAAGUUGGAAACAGAAAUUUGAAGACACCUCUUCUCCAGUGUCAGGUCAGUUCUGGUCACUCCCUCAUGGGCAUCAUUAAAUCAGCUGACCAGCUAUCUUUAAAAUCCCCAUUAGGUUUCUGGGAACCAAUAUUUAUAAAUAUUGAAAGCCACAUUCUCCAUUCUUUUUCAAAAACAAAAUAAGAUAAAUUAAUAGAAAAUUCUCAAAAACUGGGAAGAACAGAGUUAAGAAAUUUUUAAAAAAUUGUGUUUAUGAGACUAAGAAAGCCCUCCCCAUGGAACCCUGGUUACCACUUCAGGGCUAGAGCUGCAGUCACCCCCUGGGAAUGUAGUGUGGAGUGGGGGUCUCUGUCACAUCCCCAUUGCUCUGGGGGAGUGAGUUUAAAGACAAGGGGUUGGGACGCUAUGGCAAAGAAAGCUAGGCGGCAUGCCAUUUAGCUUGUAAGUGUCCUGAAUCUCAGUCUCUCCUGGGCCUCUCAUGCUCAUAAGGAAUUAAAGGGGUGUCAGCCCAGGGUCUAACGAGGCUGUCCCCUGUGUUGACUCAGACAACAGCAGAGUUAGCUCUCCUGCAGAGGAAUGCUUGCAGCCUCCACCGAGGUCUCAGAAUCACCUCUCCCUGGAGGAACCAACAAGCACAAGAGGACGUUAAGGUGACAAAACGAAGAAUGAAAGCUUUUCAGCUUUCCUGGCGCUUUCUGAGGUGACAGGGUUGGAUGAGAGUCACUAAGCAAGUCUGGCAAAUCUACACGAUGCUGGGCCCCUAGGGGCUUUAGGCCACUUUUUAAAGUCAUUCAAAAUAAAGCAAAAUUGAUGUAGGGUGUUAUGAACUGAAUGUUUGUAUUCCCCUAAAUUAAUAUGUUGAAAUCCUAAUCUCCAAUAGAAUGGUGUUGGGGGGCGGGGGGCUUUGGGAGGUGAUCAGGUCAUGAAAGCGGAGCCCUCAUGAAUGGAAUUAGUGUCCUGUGUAAGAAGAGAGCUUGCUUCUUCUCUCUGCUUUCUGUCACAGGAGGAUACAUAUGGGAAGACAGCCAUCUGCAAGUCGGAGCGGGCUCUCACCAGACAUCAGAUCUUCUGGUGCCUUGACCUUGGGCUUCCCAGCCUGAAGAACUGUUAUGAGCUCCUUGGGAGUGAUAGACAGUGACUCACAACCAGAACCUCGGAGCCAAAUUCAAGGUAAGCCUGGCACAUAGUAGUCACUCAAAUGUUUGUUGAGUAAAUAUUGAAUAAAUGUGAAGAUCUGUCCUUAGUCUGAGAUGAUGUAAUAUUUGUAACCAUUGAAUCAGAUGAUAAUAUCCUAAGAUGAUCUGUUAGGUAAUGUUAACAAAAAUGAUCAAGGUUCUUUGCAUUUAUCUAAAGUAUAUUGAAUGAAAUUAUUUUAAAGCCCAGAUGAAUAUUUUGAUUGAAAUGUGUUAGCUCUGUAGGGCAGGUUGGAGGUAUAGAACGGCAUGAUGGCUAAGAGAUGAGCAAGCAUUUCAUUUCCAGAGUUUCCAGUUACCUUUUCUGAUCCAGGCUUGCUGUAAAGAUAGGGAAUAGAAAAUCAGAUGAAGCCUCAUUGAUACUUAAAAGAAGUGUGACAGUGAGUUUAGAAUUUGUAUUUGUUAUGGACUGCUACCCAGAGGAUUGGUUCUGAUUGGGUGCUGCUGACGUCAGUCUCCGACUCAAUUCUUGGCUCUAAUUUGGUGUAGAAGAAUGGCAAAUAUGAAGAUCUAGGGAAAACAUUAUCCUGCUACGUAACUUCUCUCUUCUUAGAGAACCAGUGCCCACUUUCCUGAUGGGAAGAGUGACCCUGGUUUGUCUGAACUAUUUUGGAGAAAACAAGCAGACAUUUUGCAGUCACUCUGGAUAUAGCAAUUGCCAAUGACAAGCCUGUGUGACUUCUUUCAUCAUCUUCAAUGAAGACACUCCAACUGCCAUGCCUUUAAUUUCAGUUGCUAUGUUUUCUCUCCUGAUAACUCUGCUGUUUCAGUGUUAUGAUAUUUAUGAAGCCAGCCUGAACAUCACCUCCUCAGCUGAUGAUUCACCCUUGUGGAAACUGGAGCUUUAGUUGUUGAAAAUCGGGUAAUAAUGUUUGCUUAUUUUGUUUAGGAACCCUUAUUUCAAGUUUUUAUCUCCUGGCAAAAAGAGUGUCUGUCUUGUUCAUUAAUUUAUCUUUAUUUUCUAACAUAAGGUUGGGCAUAUGGUCUGUGUCUAGUCAAUAUUUAUUAAAUAAAUGAGUGAAGAAACUCUAUUUUUGAGUGAUUUUUCCAAAGAAAAAUUUUAAGCACCCUACCAGUUUCUUUAAAAAAUUAAUAAUUACCCGAGGAAGAAGAAAUGUUUGAAUGCAUGUGAUCAGUCAUCAGGUAAAUACUCAGAUCAUUGGGUUAAGAGCCAUAUGCACGAGCUGCUAAUUUGGUGGAUGCUGUCUGAGUUCAGGCUACAUGGUGGACAAGCCAAGAAGAUCUGCAGCUGAAACCCAGGGAGGUCAACCGGUACAAUAGCUCAUAGGUGGAAUUGUCUGGGGACAUAUGAGCUCAAAAAAGUUACUAUUUCUCUCUCUCUCUCUUUUUUUCUUACUAGUGAAUGACAUUCUCACAAAGAUUUCAGAAAUGUAGUUGUAUACUAAAUGGAGAUUUUUAAUGUACGGGUCUCCAUUUAAUGAACAAAUAUUCAAGAUUCUCCUAUUUAUCAGAAGUUGGACUAUAUAUUCAAGGUCAAUGAUCACAAAAAAAGACCUUGUGGGUGUUAUUGUAAAAUAAACAGUCAAGUACAACCUUUGUGAUAGAGACCAUCACAACACAUGAUAGGGUUACCUGAUAAAGAUUAGGUUAGAAGAGAGGGUCAAAAUAGGCUUUCCAAAAAAAAAAAAAAAAAAAAAAAAAAGAAAAAAAAAAAAAAAAAAAAAAA